rnacentral:sRNA from 1 species
UUUUGAACAUCGUUGUCCAUACCAGGCC